CGGACACCCCUGGAUAGACCUCGACGCUUUCAUUCCAGACAGUUCAGAACGUAACCUAGGGAAACAGACCACUCAUGGCUUCCCUUCUGACUCAGCACUGAGGAUUCUGACCAAUCUGAGCUGAGGAUUCUGGCCAAUCAACAUUUCUGGAUUCUUCUGUGAACCCCUAGCAUUUUCCUCCAGGUUUAACUGCUGAGGCUUUCCCAGGCUCCUUGCUCCAGUCCGGUCUCAGUCAGACACGUCCGUCUGCCCUCUAUAUUCCUCAGAACUGGGUGAGAGGCCACACGGAGCCAGCCAGUGGCAAGGUGUAACGGAAUGGACAACUAAGCAGCCUCCACCUCCACACUGCGUCCAUCACCAACUCAACGGGAAAGAAGAUACAAACGUCACAUAUUGGUAGAGGAACCAAGGGUAAAGACGCUUGCCACUGAGCCUGAGGACCUGAAUUCAAUCCCCGGGGACCCACACAUACACUGUAGAUACUCAUGCCCCAGCCCUAGCUCCCAAACAAAUAACUAAAUGUGAAAGAAAACAUAAAGUUCUCUUUC